CUCCCCGAGCCCCCUUCAUUAUUUCUGUUAUCACAAGGCAGCCUCCGUGCCCAAACGCCGGCAUGUGCGAGGCAAACAGAGCGCGAUUGUUCCGAGCCUGGGAACGCGCGGAGGGGGCGCGGAGGGGGCGCGGGGGCCGCCGCCCGCCGCCCCCCGCCCGGGCCCGCUCAGACGCGAUUGUGAUGGAAAUCGCCUUCCCGCAUGCUGUUGAACUUGAUGUUGACUCCUUUUCUUUGGGGCUCCACGUCUCCCCGGCCACUUGUUUGUGGGAAAAUUUUCUGCCGGGCUCCAGUGUGAAAUUAAUUAAUCAGGGCCUCGAGAUGGCAAUGGGACACAAAAGGGGACAGCCGGGGGAAACUCCGGCAAACUCACAAAAGCCACCCGGGGUUUAUAGCCCCCGGGGCUGCCCGGACCGACUGCCCUGCCCUGCCCGCUGCCCGAGGUGAGCUCGGCCCAGAGGCUGCGCCGGGGGACUCUGCCCGCCCGCCGAGGAGAGGAGAAAUCCCUGCAUCACUUCAAUCAACGUGGUUUUGGCAGCACCCACCAAAGGGGAUGGGGACAGGGACGGGGCGAAGCCAUGCCAGCGCGGGGGAGCAGCCAGGGCAGCAGGGAGACGACCACCACGCAGCACCCGAACCCUGGAAAUCAAAGGAACUCCACCAGGACCUGGUGUUAGGACUGAGCUUUCCAGCCCGGAGGAGGCUGCUCCUGCCGUGGGUUUGCAGCGGCAAAGUUGUGCCUGGCUCUCGGGGCUGGGCUGGGGUGGUGGCAUCCCUCCUCCACAAGCACGACACGUGCGGAGCUGAGCACGGGAAGUUACCUGCGCUCCCCCAAGGAUGCUCAAGACCCCAUCGCCCCUUGUGGAUGGGGAAGGGGGCUCUGCCAGCUGCACCCCACGGGCAGGGCGCCGGGACCCCCACCGGCGACUCGUGGGGACGAGGACACGGGUGAAGACGUGCCACCGCGUUCCCCGGGGACAGCGUGAGGGUCAGCCUCUUCGCAAGCGACCCGUCGUGAAGCACAGCUCUCGGUGAGGAAUUUUGGAGCAGGGACCCAGCUUUCGGCACGGCUCGGGGGGGGCUUAAAAUUUGCCGAAAAACACCAGGAACGGUUCAGGCAGCGAGGCAGGGGGGUGGUGGCACUGUCACCUCCUGGGCACCCAUGUCCUUGCUGUAGUAGGACCUUGGCAGUGCCCAUCCCGGGCUCACACCAGUUUCUCCCAUUAACAGGUG
rnacentral:lncRNA from 1 species